rnacentral:tRNA from 2 species
GGGCGGAUGGUGGAACUGGUAGACACGCUAGCCUUAGGAGCUAGUGGCGCAAGUCAUGAGGGUUCGAGUCCCUCUCCGCCCACCA